CAGCCGCCGCGGGAAUACGAAGGGUGCAAGCGUUAAUCGGAAUUACUGGGCGUAAAGCGUGCGUAGGCGGUUUGUUAAGUCUGUUGUGAAAUUCCCGGGCUCAACCUGGGAAUGGCAGUGGAUACUGGCUCGCUAGAGUGUGUCAGAGGAUGGUGGAAUUCCCGGUGUAGCGGUGAAAUGCGUAGAGAUCGGGAUGAACAUCAGUGGCGAAGGCGGCCAUCUGGGACAACACUGACGCUGAGGCACGAAAGCGUGUGGAGCAAACAGGAUUAGAUACCCGGGUAGUCCCUGUCUCUUAUAC
rnacentral:rRNA from 1 species